CUCCGCGUAGCUCAGUUGGUUAGAGCACUAGAGAAGCGAACGUCACGGGUUCAAAUCCCGUCGUGGAGC